AUUGAACGCUGGCGGCAGGCCUAACACAUGCAAGUCGAGCGAGUGGCGGACGGGUGAGUAAUGUAUGGGGAACUGCCCGAUAGAGGGGGAUAACUACUGGAAACGGUAGCUAAUACCGCAUACUAUCGGAUGUGCCCAUAUGGGAUUAGCUUGUAGGUGGGGUAAAGGCUCACCAAGGCGACGAUCCCUAGCUGGUCUGAGAGGAUGACCAGCCACACUGGGACGGAGACACGGCCCAGACUCCUACGGGAGGCAGCAGUGGGGAAUAUUGCACAAUGGGCGCAAGCCUGAUGCAGCCAUGCCGCGUGUAUGAAGAAGGCCUUAGGGUUGUAAAGUACUUUCAGCGGGGAGGCGUUACCCGCAGAAGAAGCACCGGCUAACUCCGUGCCAGCAGCCGCGGUAAUAC
rnacentral:rRNA from 1 species